GGCUGGUCUGAGAGCAGUGAAGCUUACAACUAAUUGAUCAUAACCCGUUACAGAUUUCUUUAUUCCUUCUGUACUCCCACUGCUUCACUUGACCAGCCUUAA
rnacentral:Y_RNA from 1 species